CUACGGGACGCUGCAGUGAGGGAUUUUGCGCAAUGGGGGGAACCCUGACGCAGCAACGCCGCGUGAGUGAAGAAGGCCCUUGGGUCGUAAAGCUCUGUCAACAGGGAAGAAGUUAUGGAUUUUUAAUAGAGAUUUGUAUUGACGGUACCUGUGAAGGAAGCACCGGCUAGCUCCGUGCCAGCAGCCGCGGUAAUACGGGGGGUGCAAGCGUUAUUCGGAAUUAUUGGGCGUAAAGGGCGCGCAGGCGGCCUUGUCAGUCAGAUGUGAAAGGCCAGGGCUCAACCCUGGAAGUGCAUUUGAAACAGCAAGGCUUGAGUACGGUAGAGGAAAGGGGAAUUCCUGGUGUAGAGGUGAAAUUCGUAGAUAUCAGGAGGAACACCGGUGGCGAAGGCGCCUUUCUGGACAUGUACUGACGCUGAGGCGCGAAGGCGUGGGUAGCGAACAGGAUUAGAUACCCUUGUAGUC
rnacentral:rRNA from 1 species